AGAAAGCAUAAAAGGAGAGCCCUCGCAGUGCACCACCCUUUUCCUGCACCGGUCGGCCUGCCUGGUCACGGCCGGACUGGACUACGUGCAUGGUGCGUGCUCCAGUCCGGCCGAGGCCUGGCUUUGCACUUCACCACAUUGUGAAGACUGGGCCGGCUAACGGCUUUUUCCGUUUCCUACACGCACAAGCAUCUGAGCAACGCACCCGUAUGCUCUCCCCCUGGGGUUCAGAUCGACACGCAAUUAGGAGGACCUACUUUCAUCGACGCCCCUCAUCCAAGCGAAGACAGCUAAACCUCUCUCAAGGACCGAGAUUGCCGAAUGGAGAACCCUUGGCUUGCCGACUCUACGCCGCCU